rnacentral:rRNA from 1 species
ACGGGAGGCAGCAGUGGGGGAUAUUGGACAAUGGGGGAAACCCUGAUCCAGCGAUGCCGCGUGAGGGAAGAAGGUUUUCGGAUUGUAAACCUCUGUGGACAGGGACGAUAAUGACGGUACCUGUUUAGAAAGCCACGGCUAACUACGUGCCAGCAGCCGCGGUAAUACGUAGGUGGCGAGCGUUGUCCGGAAUUACUGGGUGUAAAGGGAGUGUAGGCGGGAAAGCAAGUCAGAAGUGAAAAUUAUGGGCUUAACCCAUAACCUGCUUUUGAAACUGUUUUUCUUGAGUGAAGUAGAGGCAAGCGGAAUUCCUAGUGUAGCGGUGAAAUGCGUAGAUAUUAGGAGGAACACCAGUGGCGAAGGCGGCUUGCUGGGCUUUUACUGACGCUGAGGCUCGAAAGCGUGGGGAGCAAACAGGAUUAGAUACCCUGGUA